rnacentral:rRNA from 1 species
UGGGUUAAAUCCACCCGAACCUUGCAGAGAUGUGAGGGUGCUCUUCGGAGAGCGGGUGAGAAGGUGCUGCAUGGCUGUCGUAAGCUCGUGUCGUGAGAUGUUGGGUUAAGUCCCGCAACGAGCGCAACCCUCGUCGUUAGUUGCUAACGGUUCGGCCGAGCACUCUAACGAGACUGCCGACGUUAAGUCGGAGGAAGGUGGGGAUGACGUCAAGUCCUCAUCGGCCCUUUAUCGCCCCGAGGGGCUACACA